GGAAUUAUUCUUUGAUUAGCUUAAUUACAUUUUUUUUUUACUAAUAAAGGUGAUUAAUUUUUUGUUUUUUUAAGAGGCAAUUAUAUAUUUGUAAUGUCUUAAUUAUUUAAUAAUUCAUUGCCAAGGUGUCAUUGUGUUCUAUACAUUUUGGUUGUAUACAAUAUUCAAGCAAAUAGCAACCAGUAUUUGUACUUGUUGGUUUGUGGAUCUCGUUAGGGUUAGACUUGGUUGCCUUGUGGGUAUGGUCUGUCUACAUAGCUUAAAUGUGACUAAUUCAAUUAUACACAAAAAUUAAGUUUAGGUCCUACUUAUCUUCCUUAUUUACUGUGGUCAAAUUGGAUUAUUUAUAAACUUAUCUUUCUUAUUUACGGUAUAAAUUUCCUAGGGAGAAAUAAAGUUGGGACUGAUUUCAUUUCAGCUGUUUUCUCCAUUUGGGGUUAUGGAAAUGGCGUAAUUUGUUUUGAAUUAUUUGAUAGGAAGAGGGAUUGAGGGAGAAUUGCUGGGCAUCUGAUGGUAACUAUUAUGCAAAAGUCUUGGAUAUGAUGAAGAUGAGGAUGAAAGAUUUUCCAAUCCAACUGGCAGCCAGACCUCAACUGCAACUGUCUUUGGACAACAUUUUGUAUGGUUGUAGUUCAAUUUCCAACUUUUAUGUUUGUUGUGCUAGAUAAAAUUGGGUAGCCCCCCACAAUGAGAUUCCCUUACACUUUCUAUUAGUAUCUGCAGACAAAAUUUGGAAAUUGUUAAGCUAUUUAUCUGCAGUCAUGUGAGUGAAAAAUUGAACCACCUUAUCGUUUACUGUUUGUUGAUGAGCCUCUUUGCGAUUUCCGUUAACUAAUAGAAAUUGGGUUUAUAGGUGAA